rnacentral:rRNA from 1 species
GACGAACGCUGGCGGCGUGCUUAACACAUGCAAGUCGAACGGAAAGGCCCUUCUUUUGUGGGGUGCUCGAGUGGCGAACGGGUGAGUAACACGUGAGUAACCUGCCCUUGACUUUUGGAUAACUUCAGGAAACUGGGGCUAAUACCGGAUAGGAGCUCCUGCUGCAUGGUGGGGGUUGGAAAGUUUCGGCGGUUGGGGAUGGACUCGCGGCUUAUCAGCUUGUUGGUGGGGUAGUGGCUUACCAAGGCUUUGACGGGUAGCCGGCCUGAGAGGGUGACCGGCCACAUUGGGACUGAGAUACGGCCCAGACUCCUACGGGAGGCAGCAGUGGGGAAUAUUGCACAAUGGGCGGAAGCCUGAUGCAGCAACGCCGCGUGCGGGAUGACGGCCUUCGGGUUGUAAACCGCUUUCGCAUGUGACGAAGCGUGAGUGACGGUAAUGGGUAAAGAAGCACCGGCUAACUACGUG